GUCUUUUUGAUUAUAAUUUAAAGUCCAAUCUGCCCAAUGAUUAUUUUAAUGGCUGCGGUAAUUUGACUGUACAAAGGUAGCAUAAUAAUUAGUUUUUUAAAUGGGAACUUGUAUGAAGGAUUAGACGAAGGUUAAUCUGUCUCGAUUAUAUUAAUAUAAUUUUAUUUUUGAGUUAAAAAGCUUAAAUAUUUUAAAAAGACGAGAAGACCCUAUAGAUUUUUAUAUUUUAAUUGAUUUUUAUUAUUAGUAUUUAUUUUAAUUUUUUUUUAUUAUUUGGUUGGGGUGACUAAAAGAUUUAAUUAACUCUUUAGAUUUUUACCGAUGAUUUUUGAAUAUUUGAUCUUGAGUUUUUGAUUAUAAGAUUAAAUUACCUUAGGGAUAACAGCGUUAUUUUCUUUGAAAGUUCUUAUUGAUAAGAAAGUUUGCGACCUCGAUGUUGGAUUAAAAUUUAUUUUUGAUGCAGUAGUUAAAUAAUUAGGUCUGUUCGACCUUUAAAAUUUUUCGACCUUUAAAAUUUUUUGAUGCAGUAGUUAAAUAAUUAGGUCUGUUCGACCUUUAAAAUUUUUCGACCUUUAAAAUUUU
rnacentral:rRNA from 1 species